rnacentral:lncRNA from 1 species
AAAAACUAAAUUAAAACAUCAAGUUGAUUUACAUAAGUUUGAUUUAAAAUUUGGGUAAUCAUGCUACAACAUAGAUGAACCUUGAGAACAUUAUGCUAAAUGAAAUAAGCCAGUCACAAAAAGACAAAUACUGCGUGAUUCCACUGAUAUGAGGCAUCUAAAGCAGGCAGACUGUUAGAAAUAGGAAGUAGAAUGGUGGUUGCCAGGGGCUGGAAGGAGGGGGAAAAAAUUAGUUGGGCAUGGUGGUGCACACUUAUAGUCCCAGCUACUCCAGAGGCUGAGGAGGGAGGAUUGCUUGAGCCCAGGGGGUCGAGGCUGUAGUGAGCCGUGUUCAUGCCACUGCACUCCAGGUUGGGUGACAGAGCAAGACCCUGUCUCAAAAAAAAAAAAAAAAGGCAAGCCUAUAAUUUUUAUCCAGAUUGAUUGAAACAGUGUUAGGACCCUGGCCCCUGCCCCAUGCUGGGUGAAAUGAGCAGAGAAAGGUGUCGGGGGAAGGAAUGAAGUCUCAGGUGGGCAGGGGGAGGAGAAUGGGAUAGUACUUGGUGUGAAUGUUGCCAAUAAUGAAGCCAGCAAUGAAGGAAGAGUGGGUGUAAUAAGGCAGGAAAGUACAUCGUACUUAGAGGAAACUGAACGGUAAACUGUAAUCAGUCCAUAACUGACACAUUUAAAUUUUUCAAUGGUCAAAAAGAGGAAAAUCACACAACUGACCUGCUCUUAAGACACAGUUUUAGCUAUUACUUGAAGAAGAUGUCCAACAGGAUAGUGCACAUUCAGAAAUAUUAACUGCAAAACUUGAACUCACCCUCAAGAUUUUCAUUAACUUAGACCCACCUGGCUCUGUGACACUGUUUUCAGAAGGUUAAAUGCUUGGCAGUGGGGUAGGCAUUUGGGGAAAUUUUAGAAUUGCACAUAUCUGAGCAAACUGAUUGUGUCCAGAAAGUACUCUUACUGGGAAUACAGUGCUAAUGAAUACAAAAUAACAGUCCCUGCUGGGUAGCCUCCAGAUGGCAAAACUUACAAGCUGUUUGGCUUUGGAAUAGUCAUGUAACCUCUCCGUGCCUUUGGUUCCUCAUCCAUAGCAAGGAGGGAUACAUAGUUCCUACCUCGUUAAACUACUGUGAUGAUUCAAUGCAAUUAUGCAUGUAAAUAAAACACUAGAACAGGUCCUGGCACAUACCAAUAAUUCAAUAAAUAUUAUUAAUAAUUAUUGUUUCCUUAUGUGGAUUUUCUCUUCUUCAGGGCUUGAUUAUUUGUAGAAUUCCAAGGGUGAUGUCAACUGAAAUAUGGGAAUUCAGGACCUUAAAAAAAAAAUCUUGAAAUGAUUAAGUUGAACUCUAUUUGAUCUGUUUAGAUUUACCAAGAUUCACUCCUCUGGCUCUGACCAACCUUACUAUGUAUUGGAAGCCACAAUCCCUCCCUUUCACUCCCAUAUGCCAAUUCUGAACAUUUUUCUUCCUUGAAAGGCAGACCUAGGAGAACAAGGCCCU